UACGUAGGGGGCUAGCGUUGUCCGGAUUUAUUGGGCGUAAAGAGCGUGUAGGCGGCCAAGUAGGUCCGGUGUGAAAACUCGGGGCUUAACCCCGGGCCUGCAGUGGGUACGGGCAGACUAGAGUGCGGUAGGGGAGACUGGAAUUUACGGUGUAGCGGUGAAAUGCGUAGAUAUCGUAAGGAAGACCAGUGGCGAAGGCGGGUCUCUGGACAGUUCCUGACGCUGAGGCACGAAGGCCAGGGGAGCAAACGGG
rnacentral:rRNA from 1 species